GAGUCUAGUGUCUAGUCUCUGUCUGUCAGUGUCUGUUCAGUUCUUUGCUGUUGUUUUGGAUUGUGGUUUGUUACUGCAUCUGAGCAAUUUAAGCAAAUUAUCUGGUCAUUUUUACGAUGAGUCGAGGAACUGCUCCUCCGUACUCUAUCUGUUGAUAGUACUUUCGCGAAAGGACGCUUUAUUACUUGUGUUGUGUGUGUGUGUACGUGCUUUAAAAUGACGAGUUUGCAAUGCAUCAAUUGCAACGUUCGCUUGUCGCGAAUACGAAGGCACGCUUUAUCCGAUGAGAGUGAAGAUAUCGUCAAUACUAUUCGGCUGUGGACAUAUCCUAGAGAUAUAACACCUGCUGACCAUGUUUGCCGCACGGAACAAAUAUUUGAAUGAUCUGCAAGUAGUUGUUCUGGGUCUGGGUAUUUCUGCACAUGAGUUUCUAUGUUGAUGAAAUAAUACUAAGAAUAGAUUAAAUAAUUAUAAGAACAAUAAAAUAGAUGUAUAUUCCUACAAAAACAAA